rnacentral:tRNA from 1 species
UUUGAAGUAGAUUUAUAUGAGAUUUUCAAUCUCAAGAAGCAAUGGCCUAAGAUUA